UGCCAGCAGCCGCGGUAAUACGGAGGGGGUUAGCGUUGUUCGGAAUUACUGGGCGUAAAGCGCACGUAGGCGGAUCUUUAAGUUAGAGGUGAAAUCCCAGGGCUCAACCCUGGAACUGCCUUUAAUACUGGAAGUCUAGAGUUCGAGAGAGGUAAGUGGAAUUCCGAGUGUAGAGGUGAAAUUCGUAGAUAUUCGGAGGAACACCAGUGGCGAAGGCGGCUUACUGGCUCGAUACUGACGCUGAGGUGCGAAAGUGUGGGGAGCAAACAGGAUUAGAUA
rnacentral:rRNA from 1 species